ACCCCAAAGUUCUAGCUACAUGUAAAAUUUUAGCAUCCCAGUAAUUAGAUUUGAAUCACAACAAUCAAGAUUCGUUUAUUCCUUAAUGCCAAGAUCUGAAAGGUUCUGAGAAUACAGAAUGAUCAGGAAUGGCUUUGUCUACAGUAAGCACAUCAUCAAUGGCUAUUUAAUAAAAAGUCUCUGGUUCACUCCCUAGGCAAUCCCUUGUCUCAUUUCUUAGAUAUAGCUGUGGUUUUAAAGUUAUCUUCCAGAAAUUUUCUAUUUGUAUACAAGUGUCUA
rnacentral:lncRNA from 1 species